ACUCAAAGGAAUUGACGGGGGCCCGCACAAGCGGUGGAGCAUGUUGUUUAAUACGUCACUAACCGUAGAACCUUACCAGGGCUUGACAUCCGUCGACAGCUUAUGAAAGUAAGUCUUCGGAGCAAUCCGACGGCGAGACAGGUGUUGCAUGGCUGUCGUCAGCUCGUGUCGUGAGAUGUUGGGUUAAGUCCCGCAACGAGCGCAACCCUCACCCCAUGUUGCCAGCGGGUAAUGCCGGGAACUCUUGGGGAACUGCCUGGGUAACCGGGAGGAAGGUGGGGACGACGUCAAGUCAGCAUGGCCCUUACGCCCUGGGCUACAAACAUGCUACAAUGGACGGUACACAGAGGGAUCCGAGACCGCGAGGUGGAGGCAAUCUCAAAAAUCCGUUCCCAGUUCAGAUCGCAGGCUGCAACUCGCCUGCGUGAAGUCGGAAUCGCUAGUAACCGCAGAUCAGCUAAGCUGCGGUGAAUACGUUCCCGGGCCUUGUACACACCGCCCGU
rnacentral:rRNA from 1 species